rnacentral:rRNA from 1 species
AUUGAACGCUGGCGGCAGGCCUAACACAUGCAAGUCGAGCGGAUGAAGGGAGCUUGCUCCUGGAUUCAGCGGCGGACGGGUGAGUAAUGCCUAGGAAUCUGCCUGGUAGUGGGGGAUAACGUCCGGAAACGGGCGCUAAUACCGCAUACGUCCUGAGGGAGAAAGUGGGGGAUCUUCGGACCUCACGCUAUCAGAUGAGCCUAGGUCGGAUUAGCUAGUUGGUGGGGUAAAGGCCUACCCAGGCGACGAUCCGUAACUGGUCUGAGAGGAUGAUCAGUCACACUGGAACUGAGACACGGUCCAGACUCCUACGGGAGGCAGCGGUGGGGAAUAUUGGACAAUGGGCGAAAGCCUGAUCCAGCCAUGCCGCGUGUGUGAAGAAGGUCUUCGGAUUGUAAAGCACUUUAAGUUGGGAGGAAGGGCAGUAAGUUAAUACCUUGCUGUUUUGACGUUACCAACAGAAUAAGCACCGGCUAACUUCGUG